rnacentral:lncRNA from 1 species
AUGAUAGAUGAUGUGUUUCAGAAUGUGGGGAAUGAGUUUGGUAAGGCAUUAUUUGCAGAUGAUGGAGCAAUAUGGAAGAAAGGGAAAAAUAUCCAAUAUGUGCAAAAGAAAGUUCAGGAAGCAAUUAAAAUGGUGGAAAACUGGUCAUAUGAAUGGGGUUUCAAAGUUUCAGUGGAAAAAACUAAAAGUAUGGUGUUUACAAAAGGCAAGAAAGUAAUGGAGAAUUCAACAUUGUAUGGAGAAGAGUUGGAGCAAGUAGAUAAGUUUAAAUAUUUAGGGGUAAUAUUUGAUAAAAGGUUGAUAUGGAAUGAUAAUAUGAAUAAAAUAGAGGAAAGAUGCAAGAAAGUAAUAAAUAUAAUGAUAUGUGUGAGAGGAUAUGAGUGGGGGGCUAGUGCUCAGGCAUUAAAAUACAUGUACAGUGCAAUGAUACGAUCAGUGAUAGAUUAUGGGAGUAUAGUUUAUAGUUCAGCAUCUAAAACAUUAAUGAAACGGAUUGAAAUCAUACAAAGUCAAGCAUUAAGAGUGUGUUGUGGAGCAAUACAAACUACACCUAUUGUGGCACUACAGGUAGAAAUGGGAGAGAUGCCAAUACAGCUUAGGAUAAAACAGUUAGCUUUAUAUUAUUGGGCAAGUAUACAAGGGUGUGAGGACAAUGAACCCAUGAAAAAAAGGGCACUGAGUUCGUGUUGGGAAACGGAGAAAAUGAAGAAGGAAUAUGGUAGCUGGAAAGUGCAAGAUUGGGCAAAAGAGAGUAAGAUCCAUGAUAAAGUACAAAUUAAAAAGUUUUUGUAUACGGUUAAUUCAAAAUGGAUAUUUCCGGAAGUGUGUGUUGAUUAUAGUAUUUAUGAUAAAAUUAGAAGCAGUGGGGGAAAAGUUAAUUGGGAUAAAAUUACAGAAGAUAGAUUGAAAAGCUAUGAGUCUUUUGUGCAAAUCUUUACAGAUGGAUCAAAGGUACUGGUAGGGGGAAAAACUGGUUUUUGCAUUUGUGAUACCACAUAUAGGAGUAGUAGUUAG